UGGGGAAUAUUGGACAAUGGGCGAAAGCCUGAUCCAGCCAUGCCGCGUGUGUGAAGAAGGUCUUCGGAUUGUAAAGCACUUUAAGUUGGGAGGAAGGGCAUUAACCUAAUACGCUAGUGUUUUGACGUUACCGACAGAAUAAGCACCGGCUAACUCUGUGCCAGCAGCCGCGGUAAUACAGAGGGUGCAAGCGUUAAUCGGAAUUACUGGGCGUAAAGCGCGCGUAGGUGGUUUGUUAAGUUGGAUGUGAAAUCCCCGGGCUCAACCUGGGAACUGCAUUCAAAACUGACUGACUAGAGUAUGGUAGAGGGUGGUGGAAUUUCCUGUGUAGCGGUGAAAUGCGUAGAUAUAGGAAGGAACACCAGUGGCGAAGGCGACCACCUGGACUAAUACUGACACUGAGGUGCGAAAGCGUGGGGAGCAAACA
rnacentral:rRNA from 1 species